UCCCUGGUGGUCCAGUGGUUAAGACUCUGUGCUUCUAAUUCAGAGGCCACAGGUUUGAUCCCUGAUUGGGGAA
rfam:TPA: Bos taurus chromosome 1, whole genome shotgun sequence.